UUUUCAAGACACACGGUUUAUUCAAAUGUCUCUUAGUCUCUUGUAUUUCAACAAACUCUUUUUCAAUUGGUAUCAAGAGCACUCCUCACCAUCACAGAAUGCGAGUUCUUCAAAGAACGAUGAUGGAUCUUCGUUGAAGAACGCAUUCAAAACCUUCAUGCAGCAAAUCACCAUCAAACUGGAUAAUUCGAACUUUCUCUCAUGGAAACAAC
rnacentral:lncRNA from 1 species